AUUGAACGCUGGCGGCAGGCCUAACACAUGCAAGUCGAGCGGGGUUUUCGGACCUAGCGGCGGACGGGUGAGUAAUGCGUAGGAAGCUGCCCGAUAGAGGGGGAUACCAGUUGGAAACGACUGUUAAUACCGCAUAAUGUCUACGGACCAAAGUGUGGGACCUCCGGGCCACAUGCUAUCGGAUGCGCCUACGUGGGAUUAGCUAGUUGGUGAGGUAAUGGCUCACCAAGGCGACGAUCUCUAGCUGGUUUGAGAGGAUGAUCAGCCACACUGGAACUGGGACACGGUCCAGACUCCUACGGGAGGCAGCAGUGGGGAAUAUUGGACAAUGGGCGCAAGCCUGAUUCAGCCAUGCCGCGUGUGUGAAGAAGGCCUUCGGGUUGUAAAGCACUUUCAGCGAGGAGGAAGGGUGGUGUGUUAAUAGCACAUCAUUUUGACGUUACUCGCAGAAGAAGCACCUGCUAACUCUGUGCCAGCAGCCGCCGUAAAAC
rnacentral:rRNA from 1 species